CGCCUCUUGCCUAACAUAAGAGGUCCAGCCUGCCCGGUGACAAAGUUUAACGGCCGCGAUAACCUAACCGCGCGAAGGUAGCAUAAUCACUUGUUCUUUAAAUAGGGACUAGUAUCAACGGCAUCACGAGGGUUAUACUGUCUCCUCCCUCCAAUCAGUGAAACUGAUCUCCCCGUGAAAAAGCGGGGAUAAAGAUAUAAGACGAGAAGACCCCAUGGAGCUUUAAACCAACAGCAACUCAGUACUAUAGUUCCUCAUAGCCCCCAGAGAAAUGCACGUCGGUUUUAGGUUGGGAUGACCGCGGAGUAAAAAUAAUCCUCCACGACGAAAAGAACUAAAUCUUUAUCUAAGAAUUACUAUUCCAAGAAUUAGCAUACUAACGAAUAAUGACCCAAUAAUUGAUCAACGAAACAAGUUACCCUGGGGAUAACAGCGCAAUCUACUUUAAGAGCCCAUAUCGACAAGUAGGCUUACGACCUCGAUGUUGGAUCAGGGUAUCCCAGUGGUGCAGCCGCUACUAAGGGUUCGUUUGUUCAACGAUUAAAACCCU
rnacentral:rRNA from 1 species